rnacentral:rRNA from 1 species
AGUGAACGCUGGCGGUAGGCCUAACACAUGCAAGUCGAACGGCAGCCCAGUAAGAGCUUGCUCUUACGGGUCGCGAGUGGCGGACGGGUGAGGAAUACAUCGGAAUCUACUUUUUCGUGGGGGAUAACGUAGGGAAACUUACGCUAAUACCGCAUACGACCUACGGGUGAAAGCCGGGGAUCUUCGGACCUUGCGCGAUUGAAUGAGCCGAUGUCGGAUUAGCUAGUUGGCGGGGUAAAGGCCCACCAAGGCGACGAUCCGUAGCUGGUCUGAGAGGAUGAUCAGCCACACUGGAACUGAGACACGGUCCAGACUCCUACGGGAGGCAGCAGUGGGGAAUAUUGGACAAUGGGCGCAAGCCUGAUCCAGCCAUACCGCGUGGGUGAAGAAGGCCUUCGGGUUGUAAAGCCCUUUUGUUGGGAAAGAAAAGCAGCAGGUUAAUACCCCGCUGUUCUGACGGUACCCAAAGAAUAAGCACCGGCUAACUUCGUG